rnacentral:lncRNA from 13 species
UUAAAGUUUUUUCCUAAAGAAAGUUAUCUGAUUAUUAUACUAUAAAUUAAAAUAAAUUAAAGAAUUACAUUAUUUAAAAUUCCAAAAAUUUCUAACGGAAAAUCUUAAUUGGAGCAUAAAAACAAAAGUUUCGCACGAAGGAAUUCCUUCCACCAUGGUACGAAGGCUGAUAACGAGACGUGAUGUGAUGUGACGUGACGUAGAGUAAGGCAGAGAAAAAUGUAGAGACGUAAGAAAUGUGUUGGAUGUCUCAUCUAAUAAGUGUGUCGAAGAGACGAGCCGAAGACAAAUCAAUAAAUACCCGUGUUUCAAAAAGGCGACAUUGCUAAUUGAAGUUGACAGUAUCAUCGUAGUAUACUACCAUCCUUUAAACGAUUUGACGACGCCAUACCAAAAUUUCAAAGUGAUUCACGUAGUGGGAGUUUUUCGAUACAAUGGAAGAAGAGCAAUAUCAAUCCGUGAUUCGCUUUUUAUUUUUGGAAGGAAAAACGUGCGAAGAAAUAAAAACGAAAUUAGAUGCCGUUUAUGGGGAUCAUUCACCAUCUAUGACAACCGUCAGAUAUUGGUUCAACGAAUUCAAACAAGGUCGUUCAUCAAUUUUUAAUAAAGAGCGCACAGGCCGUUCAACAAACGCGACUACUGAGAGAAAAUCAUUGAAAAGGUCCACGACAUGAUUCUCGCUAACAGCCAAAUAAAAGUGAGUGAAGUAGCAGAGGCGUCCAAUAUUUUGCAUGAUAACUUUGAAAUGGAAAAGCUGCCGGCCCGAUGGGUGCUGCGAUUGCUCAUGGUGGACAACUGGAUACGGCUAUUUAAUUCGAAUGUUUGGCCUGAGCAUUUGGUCAAGGUGCUUAUGUGCAAUCCAUGGGAGUUUUUGAAUCGAGUCAUAAUCGUUAGUGAAACAUGGAUUCAUUACUACACAUCGGAGAACAGGGAUCCACAUGCAUGAAAGGUGAUGAUUACUGUUUUUUGAAAUGAGCAAGUGAUCUUCACCGACUAUUUGCAGAGGGAAAAAGCUAUCACAGGGUAGUACUAUGCUGAUUUAUUGGGCCAAUUCAAUGUUGCAUUGAAGAAAAUACAGUCUCAGUUGGCGAAUAAAGAAAUUUUGCUCCACCACGACAAUGCACUGGCUUACUCUGCAGUCACCACAGCCAAAUUGAUCGAAUUAGGAUACGAAUUGUUGCCGCAUUCACCAUGCCCUUCGGAUUUGGCCCCCAGCAAUUUUUUCCUGUUUUCAGACUUUAAAAAAAUGUCUCAGUGGACAGAGAUUCAUGUCGUAUAAGGAGUUCAUCGACGAAACAGACGCCUAUUUUACAGAGUUCAACAAAUCAGAUUUUUCGAAGGGUUUAAAAAAUUGCAAGGGGCAAUGGAAAGUGUAUCUCCUCUUAAAAGGGGCUUACAUUGAAACGUUGGACUGCUGCAAGAACUCCUACGUUACCAAAAUGUUCAAAUCAAUUUUUGGAUUUAAAUUUUAGUGUUGACGAUAUUCUUCCAAAGCUUUCUAUAAUGAACAGCAAAUCAUUUCUUGAUUUGCACAAACGCAAUAUCAUUUCUUGUGGAAAAGAAAAGAAAUGAUGGGGAAAAAAUAGUCUUUUGUAAUCUUUGCUCGUUUUGAGUGACUAUUGUAACAAUUCAGAAUUUCAAAUCGCGAUAAUAUAAUUAAGAGUGUCAAGAUCAUGUGAUCGAAAUAAAGAUAUGUAAAUAUCAUGUUAAAACAUUAUAAAUGCCUAAUUUUCCAAAUAUUCAUUUAUUUUUUAUAUUUGCAAUAAAAAUACAUUUUCAAACUUAGAAGUAUCUGUCUUUCGUAUGUCUUGUUACUUAAAAUAAUACCAAAUUAUUAUAAUUGAAAUAAAACUUAACUCUUGAAAUAUC